CACAAGGGCGCCCCGGUCCUGGGCUCAAGUCACGUGACUCCUCCGUGAGCCUCAGUUUCCCUGUCUGCCAAGCUGGUGGGUCUUGGUGGAUCCCAUGUGGAAGGACUGGAGACAAAUGCAAAGGCCCCAGCACGUGCCUGGCACACAGUAGGCCUCGCCUCCGUGGGCAUCCUUGCCUCACUCGCUGCAUCCCUUGCACCCUAAGGUCUCAAAGGCUACCUGGUUGUACUGAUCGGGGUCUUGGUGGCCUUCGUCCUGCUCCUCUUCCUCCUUGUCUUCCUCCUCAUCCGACACCAGCGCCAGGGGAAGAGCCGGAAGUCAGGGGCUGCAGAUCCAGUGGCCCACGACAGAGGCCUGCGGUGGAGGUAACUGCUCCCCAAAGACCCCCAGCCUCCCUGUGCCAGCGGCUCCCUCUCUCCCCUGACACUCCUCUCUCCUUCCAGCUGCUGUCCAGCUGCUGGCCCGCCGGAAGAAAGCCUCUGUGAGAGGACAGGAGGGGCCUUGCUGGGGGGAGAUGGGGCCUAGGGACAUCUACUGGUAA
rnacentral:lncRNA from 1 species